UUCUGACCCUGCUCUCCCGAUGUGAUUGAGCACUCCAGGAACUGUCAAGAUCACUGGGAAUUCAUGGAGACAGAUUCAGUUCCUAGUGCAUUACCAGAUGGACAAGAGCUGGCCAGGAGCAAAAUGCUUUGGUUCGAUUACGAAAGGUGACGCACGGGUGUGGAAGGCUUGGUCUCCUUUGAAGGUGACAGAAAUUUUAGGACUUGUAGAUGGAAGAGGUGGGUCAUGGGACAGAUCACUGAAGAGUGUGACCUCUCCCUGUUUAUCUUCUGUGUCCUUGUCACCAGGAACUGGGCAGCUACCUCCUCUACAGAUUCCAUAAUGUUUCCCUUGCCUCAGGCCCCAAAGCAACAGAGCCACCAGUCAUGGACCAAAAAGCCCCGCUUAAAUGUGAACCAAACCAUCUUUCUUCCUUUGACAUCACCUCCCUCAGGAACAGCAACAGAAAUGCUCACACACUGCUGAUGACCCAAAGUCUGAGCACAAGCUUCACUUACACGCACACAACUUAAUGAUAAUUCUAUCCCACACUGUAAAUACUUUUUAUAUGAAGCAGUUUCGAAGUAUAGAAUUUCCCACAGGUAUCAGAUAAAGUUUCAGAUCUUGGAAUUUUUAUUCUUGAUUUCAGGUUGCAGAAGUUUAACCUGUACACUGAGUAAGAGAUUGAACCAAAAAUCUACCCAUCCUGUUUCUACAGUAUUCAGGAGCAUGCAUUAGGGUCACCAGUAAAGCAAUAAGGACUUAUCAAAGGAUAAGUUAAAACUACGAAGAAAAACAGAAGAAAUAUGAAAAAGAGGACAGCAGCCCAUGGGAGCAGGGCAUCACAGUAUCAGAUAGCAUAAGUCCAGCAGACUCUGCACUUCUGGCUUGACCACCCUCAGCCAAAUUGCUGCUCCACCUGUUUGAAACUGUCUCUCAUCACCAAAAUGGCAAUGGUAACAGAAACAACCUCACAGAGCUGUUGCUAGACUAAGCAAGACAAUGUCUGAGACCCAGCUAGCACAGCUCCUUACACAGAACAAAUGCAGUCAAUUUGGUGUUAGGAACUCGGACAUCGAGAAAUAAAAGACGACCACAUGUUGGGAAAUGAACUGGUAGCAAACCUGGGCUUCAAGCAGCAGAGUCUGGAAACUACUCUUAGCCAGCACAUUGAGCGGGCGCACUCCGUGGAUCUCUUCCGGAGAGAAGGAAAUGCUUGGAAUGGCGAAAAACAUGACCAGCUGGACCAAACCAGUGUGCCUCUCCACAGAAAAACAGACAAACAGGAAGAAAGGUGGUAACCUGCAGGGGGAAGAGGUUAGAAAACCACAGCUCAGUGACCUGAGAAACUGUGUCCUAGCGUGGGAAGACGGGACUAGAACUCAGGGCCCGCUGACUUCAGAGCCUGUGCUCUCAGCCAUGAAGUGGAUUAAUCAGAAGUACAUCCAGAAAAGUGCCUUUGUAUUCCAUGUCUCUCCCCAGACAGAAACUUUAAAUUAAAUAAAACUACUAUACA